GACGAACGCUGGCGGCGUGCCUAAUACAUGCAAGUAGAACGCACAGUUUAUACCGUAGCUUGCUACACCAUAACCUGUGAGUUGCGAACGGGUGAGUAACGCGUAGGUAACCUGCCUGGUAGCGGGGGAUAACUAUUGGAAACGAUAGCUAAUACCGCAUAAUCUUGAUUAUUGCAUGAUAAUUGAUUGAAAGAUGCUAUUGCAUCACUACCAGAUGGACCUGCGUUGUAUUAGCUAGUAGGUGAGGUAACGGCUCACCUAGGCGACGAUACAUAGCCGACCUGGGAGGGGGAUCGGCCACACUGGGACUGGGACACGGCCCAGACUCCUACGGGAGGCAGCAGUAGGGAAUCUUCGGCAAUGGACGAAAGUCUGAACGGGCAACGCCGCGUGAGUGAAGAAGGGUUUCGGAUCGUAAAGCUCUGUUGUAAGAGAAGAAAGGGUGUGAGAGUGGAAAGUGCACACUGUGACGGUAUCUAACCAGAAAGGGACGGCUAACUACGUG
rnacentral:rRNA from 1 species